CGUUGGUAGUCCAUGUGAAAGUGCGUAGGAAGGGGGAUUAGGCAAAUCCGGUUCCCUAUAUUCUGAGACACGAGACGAGCCACUACGGUGGUGAAGCUGUUGACGCUACGCUUCCAGGAAAAGCCUCUAAGCUUCAGGUAUUGUCGACCGUACUCGAAACCGACACAGGUGGUCAGGUAGAGCAUACCAAGGCGCUUGAGAGAACUCUGGUGAAGGAACUAGGCAAAAUAGUAC
rnacentral:rRNA from 1 species